GGAUUAGAUACCCUGGUAGUCCACGCCGUAAACGAUGUCGACUAGCCGUUGGGGUCCUUGAGGCUUUAGUGGCGCAGCUAACGCGAUAAGUCGACCGCCUGGGGAGUACGGCCGCAAGGUUAAAACUCAAAUGAAUUGACGGGGGCCCGCACAAGCGGUGGAGCAUGUGGUUUAAUUCGAAGCAACGCGAAGAACCUUACCAGGUCUUGACAUCCAGAAAACUUAGCAGAGAUGCUUUGGUGCCUUCGGGAAUUCUGUGACAGGUGCUGCAUGGCUGUCGUCAGCUCGUGUCG
rnacentral:rRNA from 1 species